AUGAGACCACCCCUCCACCCUUCCUCCUCCAUCCCAUCUUUUAGAAACAUGGUCUCCCAGCUACAGACUACAUUUCCCAGCAUCCCUUGAAGCUAAAUGAGUGUUCUUAUAAAAGAAAGGCAGAGAAGGAUCUGAUACACUGGGAAGAGGAGAAGGUCAUGUGACCAUGAGACAGAGAUUGGAAGGAUGUGGCCACAAGCCAAGGAAUGCUGGCAGCCUCCAGAACUUGGAAGGGUCAAGGAAUGGAUUCUCCCUUUGAGCCUCUGAAGCAAGUGCAGCCCUUGAUUACUGUCCAGUGAAAAGGAUUUUGGACUUCUGGCUUCAAGAACUGUGAGACAAUACAUUUCUGUUGUUUUAAGCCACUGGUUUGUGGUAAUUCGUUUCAGCAACAACAGGAAACGAAUAUACUCGUCAUGACUGUGGAUUCUCUUCUCACAGACCUCUAUUAGCCUAACCUAAGGGAAACAGGAGGUGGAAGAAAAAGAAAAAUUAAGAAACAGAAUGCAAGCAAGAGAUAAAGGAAGAGGAGGAGGAGGAGAAGAAAGAAGAAUCAGGAAAAAAGUGGAGGAGAAAUAACUCACUGAAUGGUACAGGUCAUGUGUGAAUCAUAUUGGGGAGAAGUUCACAUAGCCCCUAAAGUCCACUUCUAUCAGUGUGGUGGGUAUUAAGCCUAUGCCCAGGCCUGGGUCAGAAGAGGAAUUUGUCUUUAAAACUUCUUAUGAUUCAUCCAAUAGUUGUAAUGUAGCUUACUGAAUUUUUUCUCAUCGAGGUCACCAAUGACCUCCUUUUGGUUAAAAAGCAGUAACCCCCUAGUCAUCAAGUUCUUUAACCUGACAUGCCAACACUAUAUAUCCUUCAAGAUCCUGCUCAUAACCCACCUCCUCUACAAAACCUCCCUUGACCUGUGUUAUUUUUCUGAAUUCCUAUUACACUCACAGGAAGUAUGUCUGUUAUUAUUUCUGCCCCUAUAAAAAGAGGCCAGAACUGCUUACUGCUAAACAUCCCAAAAUGUAUAAAACGCCCCCUACAGCAAAGAAUUAUAUUUUUAUCCCCCUUCAGCAAUUUUCACAGGGCUGGUCUGUAAGAGUCCUGUGGUGACUGACUAUCGCUACUUUGAGUCCAGCAAUACAGAUAGUCUCAUCUCUUUCAUUUCUACCUAUUUAUUGUAUUGAUGAUCGAUACAUAUGGUGAUCAAUAUUAGAAUUAUGUCCCUGUGGCAUGCUAGGUCUAAAUCAUAAAAAAAUACAUUGACAAAAUUCACUGUCUUGCUGGUUAAGAAAAUCUACUCAUAUAUUUCAGAAAGUUUUCCAACUAGAAGAGUUGAGGCCAGAAAGCAUUUCUCAUUCAUCCUAAUUUAACCCCGAAAUGCAAUUAAUGGCAACCCCUCAAGUCUUUAAUAUUCAAAGCAUCUGAAGAUUUACUUUAUUAUCAGAAGAGUUACAGGUUUGUCCUAAAAUACACCUGCUUUCUGGUAUUUAUUUCCCAAUAUGUGGCAAGUCUCAUAUAAUGGAAACUUAUUUUUUAAUUGAUAUAUGCUCCUGGCUUAGCAUUUCCAAAAGGAAAGUUUUCAUUCUGGGGCCUAUUUAUACUUUUAGUAUUGCUCAUUUGCAUCCAGUGUAACUGAAAUUGAAGCUCAGUUCAGGAAACUAUCCCACGGUAAGUGAUCAGAUAAUUGCCCACAUGCAAACCAUUAUGCACACACAUGGCUAAAGAAUCUAGUCAAGGAUAUACAACUGUUUGUGAGCAGUCCUCGUGAUUUCACUUUUUUAUUUUUUAAGCAUAAAAAUACCAAAGGCACAUUGUGGCAUUCCCAUCACAUAAAAGCAGUGAAUAUAAACCACAUCAUACAAUUAAGAAUCACAAACACACAGAGAAUGGUAAUAAAUUAAGUAAAACAACUGAACUAAUUAACAUACUUCCAAAACAGAAAACCAAGACUUAAAACAUUAUAUACCUUAGUGAAAUAACAGCUGCUCUUAUUACAAACCAUAUAUUCCAUUAGUGUGGUAUUUUGUAAUUUAUUGCCUUUCCCACCUUGGAAAAAUUAUGUUACAGUUAUAAGGCCAUAUUAACAUUUUUGGCCUUCUAUAAGUAACAGCUUUUGAAACUGGACAUGCAGCUAUCCAUUAAGUCAGUUGCCUGAAAAAAAGCUUUCUUUCUUUUUUUUUUUUUUUAGCUCUUUCAGAAUGCUCCAAAAGAAUGAUUCAGAGAAAUCAUAAAAAGAUUAAUUCAUAAUAAUGAAAUGAUGAACUUCAUAAAAUAUAAACGCCCUUCCCACCUAAUGUGUUAUCUAUGUAUCUAAAGCAUGAUGCAGUCACAACAUCCACAUUUACCAGAUUUCUAUUCUGAUGACCUUAGUUAGUCUGGAAUAAUGAUGAGGAUCAAAAGGCCCACACACCCUGGAAAGCUUAGAGGGUUUUAGGUAGGGAAAACGGUUCUUGACUAGGCUGGUAUUACUAGGUUCCUUUUUUCAACUUUCCAAAGAGAAUCCUACAGGUUGUACUCUGUUUUCCUGUUUGCUCAUGAUAAAAUGCUUAGUAUUCUAUUACCACUUUCUGACACUCAAACUUCACUCUGCCCCUGAAAAAGGAAAAUCAUUUUCUUCAACCAGGGCCUUCUUCCUUGCAUUAAUAUUAAUAUCCCAUGAGAAUAUUAGCUCUGGAGGAAAGAAUGUGGUGGCAAAAUUCCAUAUUUUCUCAUGAAAUUCACUCCCAACUUCCACUCACACAUUAAUAGGACGGUCAGGAGAAAAGCUCGCCAUUCCCCCCGGCCUCUCUUCACACUUCCCCUCGGCUUCUUCUGACACCCACUCUGUUUUUAUUUUUCUUUCCUACUGAACCAGAAGCCACUUUUAUUAGUAGAGGCUCUUCUUUAGGCAGAGUAUAUUUUGUAUUUAUUAGAGCAAACAAGGAUUUAAGUUUAAAAAAAUUGGUUGGCACUGGCUAGAGCAUAGAGACAGAAAAUGGAGUCUGCUCAGUCCCCUAGGCUCUAACCCCACCUGACGGCUCUUUCUCCCCUCUCUUGGGCUGCGGGAAGGAUGUAUCAAAACCUAAUGUAUUAUCAAGCCUUAGUUAUAUUUAAGCAAGGUCAGUGGAGUUGACAGCUGUUGCCUCUCUUUUUUUUUCCUAGAAAUGCUAUUUAAAAGACUUUCUGGAAAAAAAGAAACCCCUUAAUGCCAUUAAUUCUUCUGCAUUUUAAACAUCUGAAUUUUGCAUUUUAAAAUAAAAAUCAUUAAAGUG